rnacentral:rRNA from 1 species
GCCUAACACAUGCAAGUCGAACGGUAACAUUUCUAGCUUGCUAGAAGAUGACGAGUGGCGGACGGGUGAGUAAUGCUUGGGAACUUGCCUUUGCGAGGGGGAUAACAGUUGGAAACGACUGCUAAUACCGCAUAAUGUCUUCGGACCAAACGGGGCUUCGGCUCCGGCGCAAAGAGAGGCCCAAGUGAGAUUAGCUAGUUGGUAAGGUAACGGCUUACCAAGGCGACGAUCUCUAGCUGUUCUGAGAGGAAGAUCAGCCACACUGGGACUGAGACACGGCCCAGACUCCUACGGGAGGCAGCAGUGGGGAAUAUUGCACAAUGGGGGAAACCCUGAUGCAGCCAUGCCGCGUGUGUGAAGAAGGCCUUCGGGUUGUAAAGCACUUUCAGUUGUGAGGAAAAGUUAGUAGUUAAUACCUGCUAGCCGUGACGUUAACAACAGAAGAAGCACCGG